rnacentral:rRNA from 1 species
AUACAACUAAUAAAUUAAUAGAUAUAUAAUUAUAUUAAUGUCAACUUCUAAAAAGAAUAUACUAAAUUUUUAAAAAAUACCUUUUGUAUCUGGUGCUACCAAAAUAUAUUAAUUUAUAUAUUUCCUGAAAUAAUUUUUCAUUCUUCUGUGUAACCCCUUGUGGAAUUAAGGUUUUUGGAAGAAAGUAGUGAAAUGCUUACGAAAAUUUAUAUAUCCGGUUUAUAAAUUAAAUUUAUUUAAUAAAUUAGAUAAAAUAUAAAGGAUUAGCUUUAUAUUUAAUUUUUUGUUUAAUUCUUAAAUUGUAAAUAACAUUAAUGGUGUGUAAUUUAACAUAGUUUAAUAACUUAUAUAUAAUAUUUAUUUCUCAAGAAAUUUUCAUUUAUAAAAAUAAUAAUCUAUUAUAUUAUAAUAAUGGUAGUAUAAGUAUAACUAUAUCAGGUUUAACAAUAAGUUCUGGUGAAUAAAAAUUAUAUUAGGAACUCAACCAAUAUUUACUUUGUCUGUUUAGUAAAAACAUCGCUUUUAAAGUUAAAAGCAACUUCUGCCCACUGUAAUAUAAAGGGCCGCAGUAUAAUAAUUGUGCAAAGGUAGCAUAAUAGAUUGUCUCUUAAUUGGGGACUGGAAUGAAAGGAGUCACAAAAGUAAAAUUUUCUUAUGUAUUUUAUAAAAAUUUAUGUUUCUGUAAAAAAGCAGAAUUUACUUUAAGGGACGAUAAGACCCUAUAAAUUUUCACUUAUUUAAAAUAUAAAGUUAUAAAAUAGUAUAAGAUUAGAUGGGGCAACUAAUUUAUUAAAUUAAGUUUAUGUAUACAUUAUAUAUGGGUGAAAGAGCGUUAAUACAAUUAACCAGUAGAAAUAAAUACUUUAGGGAUAACAGAGUAAUAAUUUUGGAGAGAUCUUAUCAAUAAAAUUGGUUACUACCUCGAUGUUGAAUUAAAAAGUUCUGAAGGUGUAGAAUAUUUCAGAAAAAGUCUGUUCGACUUAGAAUUUUACAUGAUUUGAGUUUAAACCGGUGCAAGCCAGGUUGGAUUCUAUCUUUAAACUUAUAUUCUUUUUAGUACGAAAGGACCGAAAGAAAAUAUAUAAUAUA